rnacentral:rRNA from 1 species
UGGGGAAUCUUGGACAAUGGGCGCAAGCCUGAUCCAGCCAUGCCGCGUGAGUGAAGAAGGCCUUAGGGUUGUAAAGCUCUUUUGCCAGGGACGAUAAUGACGGUGCCUGGAGAAUAAGCCCCGGCAAACUUCGUGCCAGCAGCCGCGGUAAUACGAAGGGGGCUAGCGUUGUUCGGAUUUACUGGGCGUAAAGCGCACGUAGGCGGGUCGUUAAGUCAGGGGUGAAAUCCCGGAGCUCAACUCCGGAACUGCCUUUGAUACUGGCGACCUUGAGGCUGGAAGAGGUUAGUGGAAUUCCCAGUGUAGAGGUUAAAUUCGUAGAUAUUGGGAAGAACACCAGUGGCGAAGGCGGCUAACUGGUCCAGAUCUGACGCUGAGGUGCGAAAGCGUGGGGAGCAAACA